GCCAGGUGUGGUGGUCCAUGCCUGUAAUCCCAGCCACUGAGGAAGCUGAGGCAAGAGGAUCUCAAGUUCAAGACCAGCCUCAGCAAUUUAUCCAGGCCCUAAGCAACUUAGUGAGACCCUGUCUCAA
rnacentral:sRNA from 1 species